rnacentral:rRNA from 1 species
UACGGGGGGGGCAAGCGUUGUUCGGAAUUACUGGGCGUAAAGGGCUCGUAGGCGGCCAUUCUAAGUCGGACGUGAAAUCCCUCGGCUUAACCGGGGAACUGCGUCCCGAUACUGGAGGGCUUGAGUGUGGGAGAGGGAUGCGGAAUUCCAGGUGUAGCGGUGAAAUGCGUAGAUAUCUGGAGGAACACCGGUGGCGAAGGCGGCAAUCCUGGACCAUGACUGACGCUGAGGAGCGAAAAGCCAGGGGAGCAAACGGGAUUAAGAAAACCCUGGU